rnacentral:rRNA from 1 species
CAGUCGAGCGGUAAGGCCCUUCGGGGUACACGAGCGGCGGACGGCUGAGUAACACGUAGUUAACGUACCCCAAAGUGAGGGAUAAGCACCAGAAAUGGUGUCUAAUACCGCAUGUGCUCUAAGGAGUAAAGCUCCGGCGCUUUGGGAACGGCUUGCGCAUGAUUAGCUAGAUGGUGAGGUAAUGGCUCACCAUGGCGACGAUCAUUAGCUGGUCUGAGAGGAUGAUCAGCCAGACUGGGACUGAGACACGGCCCAGACUCCUACGGGAGGCAGCAGUAGGGAAUUUUCCACAAUGGGCGAAAGCCUGAUGGAGCAACGCCGCGUGCAGGAUGAAUGCCUUCGGGUUGUAAACUGCUUUUAUAUGUGACGAAUAUGACGGUAGCAUAUGAAUAAGGAUCGGCUAACUCCGUGCCAGCAGCCGCGGUCAUACGGAGGAUCCAAGCGUUAUCCGGAAUUACUGGGCGUAAAGAGUUGCGUAGGCGGCAUAGUAAGCAGAUAGUGAAAGCGUGUGGCUCAACCAUACUCACAUUAUCUGAACUGCUAAGCUAGAGGACGAGAGAGGUCACUGGAAUUCCUAGUGUAGGAGUGAAAUCCGUAGAUAUUAGGAGGAACACCAAUGGCGUAGGCAGGUGACUGGCUCGUUCCUGACGCUCAGGCACGAAAGCGUGGGGAGCAAACGGGAUUAGAUACCCCGGUAGUCCACGCCGUAAACGAUGGAUGCUAGCUGUUAGAGGUAUCGACCCCUCUAGUAGCGAAGCUAACGCGUUAAGCAUCCCGCCUGUGGAGUACGGUCGCAA